rnacentral:rRNA from 1 species
GUGGUAAUGCCGGAUGCUCCAGUCCAUCGCAUGGUGGUCUGGGAAAGAUUCCAUCGGUAUGGGAUGGGGUCGCGUCCUAUCAGCUUGAUGGCGGGGUAACGGCCCACCAUGGCUUCGACGGGUAGCCGGCCUGAGAGGGCGACCGGCCACAUUGGGACUGAGAUACGGCCCAGACUCCUACGGGAGGCAGCAGUGGGGAAUAUUGCACAAUGGGCGCAAGCCUGAUGCAGCGACGCCGCGUGCGGGAUGGAGGCCUUCGGGUUGUAAACCGCUUUUGAUCGGGAGCAAGCCCUUCGGGGUGAGUGUACCCUUCGAAUAAGCACCGGCUAACUACGUGCCAGCAGCCGCGGUAAUACGUAGGGUGCAAGCGUUAUCCGGAAUUAUUGGGCGUAAAGGGCUCGUAGGCGGUUCGUCGCGUCCGGUGUGAAAGCCCAUCGCUUAACGGUGGGUCUGCGCCGGGUACGGGCGGGCUGGAGUGCGGUAGGGGAGACUGGAAUUCCCGGUGUAACGGUGGAAUGUGUAGAUA